rnacentral:rRNA from 1 species
AUGGCUCAGGACGAACGCUGGCGGCGUGCUUAACACAUGCAAGUCGAACGGGGAUUAGUUGAUAGAGAGCUUCGGCAGGAAAUUGAUUAAUUCGAGUGGCGGACGGGUGAGUAACGCGUGAGCAACCUGUCCCAGACAGGGGGAUAACACUUGGAAACAGGUGCUAAUACCGCAUAAGACCACGGGAUCACAUGGUUCUGGGGUAAAAGGAGCAAUCCGGUUUGGGGUGGGCUCGCGUCCGAUUAGCCAGUUGGCGGGGUAACGGCCCACCAAAGCGACGAUCGGUAGCCGACCUGAGAGGGUGAACGGCCACAUUGGAACUGAGAGACGGUCCAAACUCCUACGGGAGGCAGCAGUGGGGAAUAUUGGGCAAUGGGCGAAAGCCUGAACCCCAGCAACGCCGCGUGAGUGAAGAAGGCCUUCGGGUUGUAAAGCUCUGUUAUAGUUGACGAAGGAAGUGACGGUAGGCUAUAAGGAAGCCCCGGCUAACUACGUGCCAGCCGCAGC